GGGCGGGGUUGCGGGCACGCGAGGAGAGGCGACCUGCCCGGCGCCGAUUGGCAGCGGGCGGGUGACGUGCGCGCGCCCGGGGGAUGCCGAGGGGGCGCGGGCGGCCGCGGGGACUGACGGGUAUCGAGGCCCGCCUCGAAAUCUCGAUGCUGGAGAGGGCUCUUGCGGUGGGCCUUUUACGUCUGUAGACGCUGGAGGUCCGCAGAAAGGAUACUGUGUCGGAGGAGGUAAAGCACAAGAGAGUGCUUUGUAACCGGGAAGUGCCUUUCAAAAGAGCUUACUUUUGGUUUGGUGGAAGAAGGACCCUGGAGCUUGUUGAUGCUGAAAAUGUUCAUCUCAGACGUCCUUGUCCUUGAGCCUGUUCUCUUGGGGAGAUGGCUGAGCACCUCCUGAUUUGCUCCUGCUACCUGGUAGACAGAACACCUGAUCAUGGGACAUCAAGUGACCAUGUGAAUAAUAAAACCACCCAUCAUGAACUGGUGUUAUCUGAUUCACCGAACCAUACAACUGGAUGAGUACAGAAGCAGUCUACUCCCUGAGACUGGGACACGGCUACAAUUAAACUAAAUGAGCAGUACACGGGCCUCUCACUGUUGUGGCCUCUCCCGUUGCGGAGCACAGGCUCCGGACGCACAGGCUCAGCGGCCAUGGCUCACGGGCCUAGCUGCUCUGCGGCAUGUGGGAUCUUCCCGGCCGGGGGCACGAACCCGUGUCCCCUACAUCGGCAGGCGGACUCUCAACCACUGCGCCACCAGGGAAGCCCAACUAAUUUGAUUUUUAUGCAAAUAAUAUGAAAAACGUUUGGUUGAGUUGGGUUCCAUAUUUCCUAUUCCAAGUGAAUUUGUAAACAUGCAUUUUGUAUAUUCAUAGUUUUAUAUUAAAUCUGGACCGUAGCAUUUAUAAUGUAAUUAAGUUAAUAAAAUGGCAUAAACUGUGUUAGAGCCAGUGUCCUUAGCAAGUUAUAAAAUUCUGUAACAACGUAAGUCAUAAUGGCCAUCAUUAAAAAGUCUACAAAUAGCAAAUGCUGGAGAGGGUGUGGAGAAAAGGGGAACCCUCCUACACUGUUGGUGGGAAUGUAAAUUGGUGCAGCCACUGGAAAACAGUAUGGAGGUUCCUUAAAAAGCUAAAGUAGAGCUGCCAUAUGAUCCAGCAAUCCCACUACUGUGCAUAUACCCAGGGAAAACUAUAAUUUGAAAAGAUACAUACACCCCAGUGUUCACAGCAGCAGUAUUUACAAUAGCCAAUAUAUGGAAGCAACCUAAAUGUCCAUUGACAGAUGAAUGGAUAAAGAAGAUGUGGUAUAUACACACAAUGGAAUACUACUCAGCCAUUAAAAAGAAUGAAAUAAUGCCAUUUGAAGCAACAUGGAUGGACCCAGAGAUUAUCAUACUAAAUGGGGACGUUGCUAUCAUCGUAAUUCAAAUAGGUCAAAUGCAACUGUAAAGUGAGUUCUCUAUAAUACCAGACAUGUGAAUAGUGUUUUAAAGUUUGAGCUGAUCCUAAACUGCCUCUUAAAACAUCAAAAUACUUCUAGGCCAUGGUCGUUUUAAUUUUAACCUUAGCAAAACUGAGUAGAAAUGUAAGUAUGCUAGUGUAAAUACAAACAAAUAGAAAGCAUAGUCAACCAAUAAAUUCACUUCAGUGCCAAAUAAAAAUAAAUUUGGGAUUUCAUAAUCACUUGCCUCCAUUAAGCAUAGAUAAUCUAGAACUUCAUAUAUUAGGAUUUAUUUACAUGCAAUAAUUUCUUCCAUACAACCCUGACAGUGGUCAAUAUAAAAAAUACAGUAGCACCAUUAUAAAACAAAUGUUUAAUUUCAGAUAUGAAAGUAUGUUUGUAGGGCAGGAAAAGGCAUGAGUGGAUUUCUUCAUCUUCUAAGCAAAAUUCCAUUACAACAAAAAUUUCUGUAAAACAAACUAUUUUCUAGCCCCAACUGGUAGCCCACUUUUUUUUUUUUUUUUUU